GGGGAGGCUGUGCAAGUGGCGAGCUCAACUGACUGUAAAUCAGCCGGAUAAUCCUGUGGCGGUUCAACUCCGUCCCUCCCCACCA
rnacentral:tRNA from 1 species